rnacentral:rRNA from 1 species
GUCCUACGGGAGGCAGCAGUGGGGAAUAUUGGACAAUGGGGGGAACCCUGAUCCAGCGACGCCGCGUGAGUGAAGAAGUAUUUCGGUAUGUAAAGCUCUAUCAGCAGGGAAGAAAGAAAUGACGGUACCUGACUAAGAAGCCCCGGCUAACUACGGGCCAGCAGCCGCGGUAAUACGUAGGGGGCAAGCGUUAUCCGGAUUUACUGGGUGUAAAGGGGGCGUAGACGGCGAGGCAAGUCUGAAGUGAAAGGGGGGGGCCCAACCCCUGGCCUGCUUUGGCAACUGAAUGGCUG